CGACGAAUCAAAUCUAUCGAAGCAUUUGAAUCCAAACUGCGGACUGACGGAGGAGCUUAAAUAGCCACUGUUUUAAACCAGUCAUGCUGCAAGAUCUGCUCGAGGGUCAGCCGUUCGGUUGGAUCAUGUGUUAGGCACUGGUCAAUCAGAUCACGGCAUUCUGUUUUCAGGAGAGAGUCGAUAAAUAUGGGAUUUCAAACCAAACUUUGACUUGCAUGAUUUCCAUUCUAUUGUGAAAUGGAGAGCACGUUUAUCAUCUUAUACAACAACACUCCAAAAGCCCAGAUGUUUGUGGAGAUGGCAUGGAAUUUGC